ensembl:misc_RNA predicted gene, 27301
CAAGUUCAGACUCCAUCCCCUCCCCCUGCCCUUUCUUCUCUGCGCUUCUGGCUGUGCGGAGCCGGGAACCCUAAGCUCUGGGAACUUCCCCGGUGGCGGCCGUCUUAGGGUCAGAGCAUGCUCAGUG